rnacentral:tRNA from 1 species
CAGAUAUUAGUUUAUUAAAAUUUUAAUUUUGGAGAUUAAAGAUAGAGAAGUCUCUAUAUCUGA